ACAGAGACCAAGAUGCGGAUUCAGAGGCACACAGAGAAGCCCAGAAGCGCGCGUCCUCGUGCCCAGUCACAGUCACACACGUUCACACGCGUGAACACACACAUACUCCCUCUCACACACCGGCCAACGUACGUGCCUAGCUUCCUGCAGUUGUGCAGCUAGACAAACAUUGAGUUCUCGGUAAGGGUAGAGGUCCUUGGGAAGCAGGGUCUGGGCUCAUGCCCAGGUAAACAUUCGUGUGAAUCAUGUUCUCUUGGGAACCCGGUCCAUUCUGAAGCCUGUGUGAUCUAUGUCCACUUCUCAGGUGUAGCUGCUGGGCAAGGCUGGCCGUCGGCAAAGACCAGAAGACCUUCGCGUUGUCUGAUGACUGGAGGUGCUAAGGAGAACUGGAAAAAUGGGGCAGGCGCGUGUUGCUAAGUGUGACCGUGGCUAACUCCGGAAGGUGCAGUUGAUUGGCAAGGCUGGCCGAUGGCAAAGAACACAGGACGUUUGCGUGGUCUGACGACUGGAGGUGAUGAGGAGAACUGGAACAAGAGAGCUGGGCCAUGUUGCCGACCGUGGACGUGGAUAACCCAGGUGUAGCUGCUGGGCAAGGCUGGCCGUCGGCAAAGACCAGAAGACCUUCGCGUUGUCUGAUGACUGGAG